AGAGUUUGAUCAUGGCUCAGAUUGAACGCUGGCGGUAUGCUUAAGACAUGCAAGUCGUGCGGUAGAAGGCUUCGGCCUUUGAGAGCGGCGGACGGGUGAGUAACACGUGGGAAUCUGCCUAUUAGUGGGGGACAGCCCAGCGAAAGCUGGAUUAAUACCGCAUACGCCCUACGGGGGAAAGCAGCAAUGCGCUAAUAGAUGAGCCCGCGCAAGAUUAGCUAGUUGGUAAGGUAAAGGCUUACCAAGGCGACGAUCUUUAGCUGGUCUGAGAGGAUGGCCAGCCACAUCGGGACUGAGACACGGCCCGGACUCCUACGGGAGGCAGCAGUCGGGAAUAUUGGACAAUGGGCGCAAGCCUGAUCCAGCAAUACCGCGUGUGUGAAGAAGGCCUGCGGGUUGUAAAGCACUUUCAGUUGGGAAGAUAAUGACGUUACCAACAGAAGAAGCACCGGCUAACUCCGUGCCAGCAGCCGCGGUAAUACGGAGGGUGCAAGCGUUAAUCGGAAUUACUGGGCGUAAAGCGUGCGUAGGCGGCCUGUUAAGUCAGAUGUGAAAGCCCCGGGCUUAACCUGGGAACUGCAUCUGAUACUGGGAGGCUAGAAUGUGGGAGAGGAGAGUGGAAUUUCCGGUGUAGCGGUGAAAUGCAUAGAGAUCGGAAGGAACACCAGUGGCGAAGGCGGCUCUCUGGACCAACAUUGACGCUGAGGCACGAAAGCGUGGGUAGCAAACAGGAUUAGAUACCCUGGUAGUCCACGCCGUAAACGAUGUCAACUAGCCGCCGGCCUCACUCUAGAGGUCGGUGGUGCAGCUAACGCAUUAAGUUGACCGCCUGGGGAGUACGGCCGCAAGGUUGAAACUCAAAGGAAUUGACGGGGGCCCGCACAAGCGGUGGAGCAUGUGGUUUAAUUCGAUGCAACGCGAAGAACCUUACCUGGUCUUGACAUGUAGUGAACUUAGCAGAAAUGUUUUGGUGCCUUCGGGAACACUAACACAGGUGCUGCACGGCUGUCGUCAGCUCGUGUCGUGAGAUGUUGGGUUAAGUCCCGCAACGAGCGCAACCCUCGUCCUUAGUUGCCAGCGGUUCGGCCGGGAACUCUAAGGAGACUGCCUGCGUAAGCGGGAGGAAGGUGGGGAUGAUGUCAGGUCAUCACGGCCCUUAUGCCUUGGGCAACACACGUGCUACAAUGGGAUAUACAGAAAGUCGCAAUACCGCGAGGUGGAACCAAUCUCUAAAAUAUCUCUCAGUUCGGAUUGUAGUCUGCAACUCGACUUCGUGAAGUUGGAUUCGCUAGUAAUCGUAUAUCAGCAAUGAUACGGUGAAUACGUUCCCGGGCCUUGUACACACCGCCCGUCAAGCCAUGGAAGCUGAGGGUACCUGAAGUCUGUAACCGCAAGGAACGGCCUAGGGUAAAAUCGGUAACUGGGGCUAAGUCGUAACAAGGUAGCCAAGGGCGAA
rnacentral:rRNA from 1 species